rnacentral:tRNA from 1 species
GCCUUCGUGGUGUAAGUAGAAGCACACUUGACGCGUAUUCGGGAGGCCCGGAGUUCGAAUCCCGGCGAGGGCA